AAAGAAUUAGUUUUAUUAAAAACAUUAAAUUGUCAAUUUAAAGAUAUUAAUUUUUAAUAUUCUUAU
rnacentral:tRNA from 1 species